rnacentral:rRNA from 1 species
AGCAGCCGCGGUAAUUCCAGCUCCAAUAGCGUAUAUUAAAGUUGUUGCAGUUAAAAAGCUCGUAGUUGAAUUUCGGGAUCAAUUCGUCGGUCGUGCUUUUUGGUACGUACUGGUGUUAUUGGUUUCUCCCUUCUGACAAGCCAUGAUGUCAUUAAUUUGGUGUUAUGGGGAGUUAGGACUGUUACUUUGAAAAAAUUAGAGUGUUUAAAGCAGGCAUUAGCUUGAAUACAUUAGCAUGGAAUAAUGAAAUAGGACGUUCGAACCUAUUUCGUUGGUUUCUAGGAUCAACGUAAUGAUUAAUAGGGAUAGUUGGGGGCAUUAGUAUUCAAUUGUCAGAGGUGAAAUUCUUGGAUUUAUUGAAGACUAACUACUGCGAAAGCAUUUGCCAAGGAUGUUUUCAUUAAUCAAGAACGAAAGUUAGGGGAUCGAAGACGAUCAGAUACCGUCGUAGUCUUAACCAUAAACUAUGCCGACUAGGGAUCGGAUGAUGUUAAUUUUUUAAUGACUCAUUCGGCGCCUU